rnacentral:rRNA from 1 species
UAGGGAAUCUUCCACAAUGGACGCAAGUCUGAUGGAGCAACGCCGCGUGAGUGAAGAAGGUCUUCGGAUCGUAAAACUCUGUUGUUAGAGAAGAACACGAGUGAGAGUAACUGUUCAUUCGAUGACGGUAUCUAACCNGCAAGUCACGGCUAACUACGUGCCAG